AAACUGCGAUAACUAGUGUGAAUUGCAGGAUUCAGUGAAUCAUCGAGUUCUCGAACGCACAUGGCGUGCCCGGGCAUUCCCGGGCGCAUGCCUGUUUGAGUGUCAACCCCAUUAUCCUUUGCCGCCCAGCCCGGGAGAGUCCCGGGCUGGCGCGCGCGAGUCUCUGGGCGCGUGCCGCGCGGCACCCGCCUCAAAACCCCCCACGUAGCCGACGGCAGCAGCCUUGCGCAACGCAGCAGGCUCCCCGGUGGCGGUAGGAUCCUCUGCGAUCAGCCCCCCACCAACCGGGACGCCCCGCGCAGCAAGACGCAACGCCGUGCGGAACCGCAUGCCCUCGUGCGACACGCGAAAGCUCUGACCUCAAAUCAGGCAAGACCACCCGCUGAAUUUAA
rnacentral:misc_RNA from 1 species